AAAUGUUACAUCUUGAUGACUAUUGCAGUACUACAUUAUUCUCAGGUAUUUGUUGUUCCUUUUGUGAUAGUUUUCUCUCUCCUAAAAGUAGAAUGGAUCAUUUUUAAUCCUUUGAGCAAGGUUGCCCAAAGUAGGGCGCUCAGCCAUUGAGGCAUUAUCAAUUUCUUUAAGAAGCUUCACAAAAUCUUCUCUUAUACUAAAAAGAUCUAAUGUAGGUUUGUUAGCCUUAUAGGGUACUAUAUACUGAAGACAUGAUAUUAAAUAUACAGUACAUUGCACUGUGAAGUGAGUAUCUAUAUACUUUCGUUUCGGAAAAAAGUAUGUAUAUACUAUCCACACAUGAUUGCCAUUUUUAGAGCUGUCGCUGGGAUCAUCAUGGAUUGGGAUGCAUUCUGAUAAUAAGAUAUUAGGGUAUUGAUAUGUGAUCUGUAUGUCACACUUGACUUCAUCAUCCUUUGUUUUCAGAUGUAUUCUUUAGGCAUACACUAAUGUGGCAGCUUGGUCAUAUUCUGUAGCUAAUUUAGUCACCACAAUACUCGGAUUUUUUUUCCCGACUCUCAGUAUAAAGAACUUCCACUUGCCAUCUCUAUAUGGAUUUUCUUUUUGCUACUGAUGAUUUUGGCUAAGGGUUUUUCGGCUUUCCUCUCUAUAUGGAUAUGCUUUUUUCAGGUUAGUAGUUUAGGAGUUUUUUUCAACACUGGCUUUUGGAAGUUAUGCUCGCUUCACCAGUAGGUCUUAACAAGGACAUAAUUAAUUCUCGGUUGGUAAUUAGAAAAAAAAUUGUUGGAGAAAACAUAUCUUUUGCGUAGUUAUUGCUUCUGAAUUUUACUAAUCUUUUUUCAUUUUCUUUUUUUUCCAGGUUAGUAGUAUGGGAGUUCCUAUCAAGACUGACAUUUGGAAGUUAUGCUAGCUUCAUCAGUUAUACAAAACUAGACUCAAUGUAAUUUAUUUUGGUGCUUGCAAUGAGUAUUAGACAGAGGGAUGAUGAACACAUACUUCACCCAGUGUAUAGCCAUGGUGACAAAAAAAAUUAGACAGAAAAACUCGGUCUGUAUGGUGUUUGUGAUGAUGCUAUCAAUUCACUAAACGCUAAAAUGCCAGGUUGUGAGUGUCAAAUCUAGCAAACUAAUUUUCUUUAUUGCUUUUUAUCCAAACAGAAGUAUUAGUCUAUUCUGUGCCAAGAGUCUUACUGUCAAAAGAAUAUAUGGUAGCAUCAGAUUGCCUCCAUCAGAUAGAACAAUGGCUA
rnacentral:lncRNA from 1 species